rnacentral:rRNA from 1 species
UUACACAUGCAGUCGAACGCCCGCGAGGGGAGUGGCAGACGGGUGAGUAACGCGUGGGAACAUACCCUUCGGUUCGGAACAACUCCGGGAAACUGGAGCUAAUACCGGAUACGUGCGAGAAGCAGAAAGAUUGCAUCGCCGGAGUGAAUGGCCCGCGUCCGAUUAGCUUGUUUGGCGGGGUAACGUGCCCACCAAGGCAUCGAUCGGUAGCUGGUCUGAGAGUGAUGGCCAGCCACAUUGGGACUGAGACACGGCCAAACUCCUACGGGAGUGCUAGCAGUGGGGAAUAUCUGGACAAUGGUGCGCAACCCCUGAUCCAGCCAAUGCCUGCGUGAGUGAUGACGGCCUUAGGGUUUGUAAAGCUCUAUUCGCGCACGACGAUAAUGACGGUCGUGCGAGAAGGAAGCCCCUGGCUAACUUCGUGACAGC